CAUAAUUAAUGUUAUGAGCGACACCUGUGUCUGUCCCACGAUGACGUCUACGAUGAUGACGGUGACCCUGACUGUAAACCCCCAACCCCGCACCGUUGGUACGACUCUUUAAAAACAGAUUAUUAUGAAGAUGGGAUAAUCUACGCGUGAAAGGAGACUAACUGGCAAAGUAAACAAAUAAAUAAAAAGUAACUCUGAGUGACAGGUCGUUGAGCCGGAGUUAUUGAUAGAUUCCACAAAGCGAUACCGUUGGAUCGAUGUCUCCCCGCCGAGGGGUCCGCAGCCCCCCACCAGCUAAAGUUCUCCAAUCAAAUGUCAAUGCUUCCUGAAGCUCUUCCCUCACCGGGCAAUUUCCCGGCGCCCCGCUAUGUGUAAUGUCUUGGCAUUUACCAGAAGCCAGCCCGUCUACGUUAACAAACUAUUGACUGUGAGCCUGAUCCCCACACACAUCCACAGCGGCAAGAACAACAGCGGAUUGCGUCACUCUGGCCAUGUUGUUGUUGAACAACUCCUCCCCCUACCACAGGCUGAAAAGUGCACAAUUAUCGGAUCAACCAACAUCGGCCGGUCACCGUAGUAACCAUAGACUCAGAGCACGUGGAUGACACCCCUACCAUGAGCUGAACUAGGAUCUAAAGGAAACAAGGGAAACAACAACAGAAU
ensembl:lncRNA